GUGAACGCUGGCGGUAGGCCUAACACAUGCCAGUCGAACGGCAGCACAGUAAGAGCUUGCUCUUACGGGUGGCGAGUGGCGGACGGGUGAGGAAUACAUCGGAAUCUACUUUUUCGUGGGGGAUAACGUAGGGAAACUUACGCUAAUACCGCAUACGACCUACGGGUGAAAGCAGGGGAUCUUCGGACCUUGCGCGAUUGAAUGAGCCGAUGUCGGAUUAGCUAGUUGGCGGGGUAAAGGCCCACCAAGGCGACGAUCCGUAGCUGGUCUGAGAGGAUGAUCAGCCACACUGGAACUGGGACACGGUCCAGACUCCUACGGGAGGCAGCAGUGGGGAAUAUUGGACAAUGGGCGCAAGCCUGAUCCAGCCAUACCGCGUGGGUGAAGAAGGCCUUCGGGUUGUAAAGCCCUUUUGUUGGGAAAGAAAAGCAGCAGGUUAAUACCCCGCUGUUCUGACGGUACCCAAAGAAUAAGCACCGGCUAACUUCGUG
rnacentral:rRNA from 1 species